rnacentral:rRNA from 1 species
AGGGUUCGAUCAUGGCUCAGGACGAACGCUGGCGGCGCGCCUAACACAUGCAAGUCGAACGAGAGAGAGGAAGCUUGCUUCCUCAAUCGAGUGGCGAACGGGUGAGUAACGCGUGAGGAACCUGCCUCAAAGAGGGGGACAACAGUUGGAAACGACUGCUAAUACCGCAUAAGCCCGCAGGUCGGCAUCGACCAGAGGGAAAAGGAGUAAUCCGCUUUGAGAUGGCCUCGCGUCCGAUUAGCUAGUUGGUGAGGUAAUGGCCCACCAAGGCGACGAUCGGUAGCCGGACUGAGAGGUUGAACGGCCACAUUGGGACUGAGACACGGCCCAG